UACGGAGGGUGCAAGCGUUAUCCGGAUUCACUGGGUUUAAAGGGUGCGUAGGAGGGCAGGUAAGUCAGUGGUGAAAUCUUCGAGCUUAACUCGGAAACUGCCGUUGAUACUAUCUGUCUUGAAUAUAGUGGAGGUGAGCGGAAUAUGUCAUGUAGCGGUGAAAUGCUUAGAUAUGACAUAGAACACCCAUUGCGAAGGCAGCUCGCUACACUAUCAUUGACACUGAGGCACGAAAGCGUGGGGAUCAAACAGG
rnacentral:rRNA from 1 species